rnacentral:rRNA from 1 species
UACGAAGGGGGCUAGCGUUGUUCGGAUUUACUGGGCGUAAAGCGCACGUAGGCGGAUUGUUAAGUCAGGGGUGAAAUCCUGGAGCUCAACUCCAGAACUGCCUUUGAUACUGGCAAUCUUGAGUCCGGAAGAGGUGAGUGGAGCUCCUAGUGUAGAGGUGGAAUUCGUAGAUAUUAGGAAGAACACCAGUGGCGAAGGCGGCUCACUGGUCCGGUACUGACGCUGAGGUGCGAAAGCGUGGGGAGCAAACAGG